UCAAGCCCCUUUUUCCUGUUCUCAUUUGACUCUGGGAUCUUUCCGCUGUCACUCCUCCUUGCCUUCUCAGGAGACAGUAAGUCCUAGUCUUAUGAAAGCUGCUAACAAAUUGGAGACUGUUAGAGAACACAAGCUGAUAAUCUGUCCUUCAUACCUGACUGACAGGCAGUCCUCAGAUGCUCAGAGAUCUGCAGAAUAUGGCAUUUAAAAUGUUAAUCAAAAAGAUUAUUAUAUCAGACAGACUCCCAGAUCCUAGCAGUGACCCAAGGACUCUGAAGAUUAUGAGGCACCACGAUGUCUCGGCCUGGAUGACGACAACACUGACCUCUGGGCAAGAUGCCCCAAUGCAACACCUGCCACCAGGACCUGGGCCAGACUUUGGACAAGCAGCAGAACAUUGGAGAAUUAUUGAACCCCUUUUGCCUAGAUAAAGUAAGAUCAGUCUUCCCUAUGUCCUUCUUUCAUGAAAAAAACUCCCACCUUAUGGAUCUGGUGGCUGAAGAUUGAUGCUGUUCUGACACUUCUGCCUCCAAUGAUGUAGAGACCUGGGUAUGACUAACUGAAAAUGGACUGGUCCCUGUCAUUUUUAAUAGAUUCAGAAGCUUCUAGGUCUGGACUCAGGAUGGGGACAUUUUCCACCUUCAAAGAAACAGCAGAUGUGAAGACUCCUGUACUCCUAGAACACAUCAUCCUUCAAUUUCAUGUGCCAUCUUGCCAAGUUCCUGGGACUUCACUGCUGGUACCACCACUCCAGGCUCAAGCCAGCACCUACCCAGCAACUGGAACCUGGUUUUCCAAGAUGUCCCAAUGAAGGGCAUAUGUGCUCUCCUGCCUCGCUCAUUCACCCUUGCCUCUUCUCUGCAACCAGGGCACUCUUCCACUCCAUUCAUGGAGCCAAUGAUAACAAUCUAUUUCUUCCACUAGCAACUUGCCUUCUCUGCUCCCUCAAGGGGUCUCCAGGAUGACAGCUAACUAAUACUCCUUCACUCACACCUCCUGCCACGUGUGGCCCUGACUCCUGACUUCCUCCCACUUCGCCCCUUGUGAGCAGGAAGCAGUCUUGAGAAUUGGGUGCCCUCAUUUCCCCUCCUCCAACUUGCUCACCUUUUUUUAAAAAAAAAUAAUAUUACGUGUUAAAUUAGCUCUCUUUAAUAAACUGCAAACACUCUCUGACAAAUGUAUGUAGACAAAAUAAAAGUGCUACUUUUCAA